GAUGAACGCUGGCGGAAUGCUUUACACAUGCAAGUCGAACGGCAGCACGGGGGCAACCCUGGUGGCGAGUGGCGAACGGGUGAGUAAUACAUCGGAACGUGCCCAAUCGUGGGGGAUAACGUAGCGAAAGCUACGCUAAUACCGCAUACGAUCUACGGAUGAAAGCGGGGGAUCGCAAGACCUCGCGCGAUUGGAGCGGCCGAUGGCAGAUUAGGUAGUUGGUGAGGUAAAGGCUCACCAAGCCUUCGAUCUGUAGCUGGUCUGAGAGGACGACCAGCCACACUGGGACUGAGACACGGCCCAGACUCCUACGGGAGGCAGCAGUGGGGAAUUUUGGACAAUGGGCGAAAGCCUGAUCCAGCCAUUCCGCGUGCAGGAUGAAGGCCCUCGGGUUGUAAACUGCUUUUGUACGGAACGAAACGCGUCGAGUUAAUACCUUGACGUAAUGACGGUACCGUAAGAAUAAGCACCGGCUAACUACGUGCCAGCAGCCGCGGUAAUCUCG
rnacentral:rRNA from 1 species